rnacentral:rRNA from 1 species
UAGGGAAUCUUCGGCAAUGGGGGCAACCCUGACCGAGCAACGCCGCGUGAGUGAAGAAGGUUUUCGGAUCGUAAAGCUCUGUUGUAAGAGAAGAACGUGUGUGAGAGUGGAAAGUUCACACAGUGACGGUAACUUACCAGAAAGGGACGGCUAACUGCGUGCCAGCAGCCGCGGUAAUACGUAGGUCCCGAGCGUUGUCCGGAUUUAUUGGGCGUAAAGCGAGCGCAGGCGGUUUAAUAAGUCUGAAGUUAAAGGCAGUGGCUUAACCAUUGUUCGCUUUGGAAACUGUUAAACUUGAGUGCAGAAGGGGAGAGUGGAAUUCCAUGUGUAGCGGUGAAAUGCGUAGAUAUAUGGAGGAACACCGGUGGCGAAAGCGGCUCUCUGGUCUGUAACUGACGCUGAGGCUCGAAAGCGUGGGGAGCAAACAGG